AUUGAACGCUGGCGGAAUGCUUUACACAUGCAAGUCGAGCGGCAGCGCGGGGCAACCUGGCGGCGAGCGGCGAACGGGUGAGUAAUGCAUCGGAACAUGUCCAUGGAUGGGGGAUAGCCCGGCGAAAGCCGGAUUAAUACCGCAUGAGCCCGAGAGGGGAAAGGGGGGGACCGCAAGGCCUCACGUCGAGGGGUUGGCCGAUGCCCGAUUAGCUAGUUGGUGAGGUAAUGGCUCACCAAGGCGAUGAUCGGUAGCUGGUCUGAGAGGAUGAUCAGCCACACUGGGACUGAGACACGGCCCAGACUCCUACGGGAGGCAGCAGUGGGGAAUUUUGGACAAUGGGGGCAACCCUGAUCCAGCCAUUCCGCGUGAGUGAAGAAGGCCUUCGGGUUGUAAAGCUCUUUUGUCCGGAGCGAAACGGGGCGCGUGAAUAUCGCGCUCUACUGACGGUACCGGAAGAAUAAGCACCGGCUAACUACGUGCCAGCCGCCGCUGUAA
rnacentral:rRNA from 1 species